CAAUCAGCAAGGAUAUACAGCGUGCGUCCGUACACCCACUCUCCUGCCUCAAGUUCAGCACGACUAUACUCCUAUGUCCUACCGUGUUACAUAUGCAUUUUCUCGCCGCUGUGGCCCUGCUGGCAGACUGGACUUUCCUGCUCACCCGGCACCGCUAUUGGUUCUGAACUGCUGUUUCCGAUUGCGGCCCACAGGGAUGCGCAGCCCACUCCUACACAUUGACUCUCCGGUCAACGCUUCAGAAGAGAUUACUUCGAGCACCACUCGUCCUGUGACCGACCAUGUUUACAUAGCGCCAUUCUCUUGCCGAUGGCAACCUGCUGGCAUAUUGGACUUAGCCUGGCGCCCUUUCACUUAAUACUGGUUACCAGUGUUUAUUAUGGCUUGUGGCGCAAGAGAAUGUUCCAGCAUGCUGACCUACAAGAACACUCCCGUCCUUAGCUCAAGAGUGACUAUCUUCCAACCGAUCGUCCUGCCGCAGACUUUAUACAGCACGCUUCUUCUGAUCUGUGAAAAGCGUCGUGCACUUUGGUAUUGGCAGUAUCCUGCACUGCGUUGACGGCGUGUUAAUCUUCUUAAGGUUUGCGGUGUCAUUGCCGUGCGGCGACCGUCCGUCGGAUGGACUCCUACAGUGUUUCGCUGGUGCCUUUUCACGCAGGAGUAUUUCAUAAGAUUAUUGUAGCAAUGUUUUCUGCUUUGAAAUAGUGGUAGAUUGCUCAGAGAAUGAAUGGCGCUUCUGCAGUUAGGUCUGGCUACGUGUACGUGGAAACCACCCAGUUUUUCAUAGGAAUUGUUGGUGUCUUCAUGAGCUGAUCUGCAAAAUUUUGGUGGCGAGAGUAAUGGACAUUCAUUGACAUUGUGCACUUUUGUAGUAGUACGUUGAAAUUGGUGUGUGUGUGUGUGUGUGUGUGUGUGUGUGUGUGUGUGUGUGUGUGUGUGUGUGUGUGUGUGUGUGUGUGUGUGUUACCCGUUUAUGCACGUUUUGGUUCAUUUCGUAUGUGCACACCUAUUCCAUGCCGCCCUUUUCUUCGGUGGGGAACGGACGUAUGACCAAGUUUUGCUUGCUAUUCGACGCACUUCCAAUUUCUUAUUCUUCGGUAGAAUUUCCAGUGUCACCGUUGUCAACAAAACCCGUUAAUGGUUCACUUUUCCCGAUUCAUCCCAGUUGAAGGUGCCUGGUUUGAUGGUUUACUAUCGUCUAUGGACAUCCGCUUUUGGAUUGGUUGAACCACUCGUUUCUUUAGCUUUGGUCCAUGUGUUGAUCUCGGUGCUCGUUUCAGCAUUCAGCGGAUUUUUUCAGGCAGCUUUCUCGUAUCGAAAACGAAGGCUUCGUAUACAUUCUCGGUUCUUCCACGUCGCCCAUCAUCGAUUCGAAAGAUCAACAUGCCACUACAGAAGCACACAAUGUCAAUGAAUGGGAAGGGAAGAGUAAUUACUCUCGCCAACAAAAAAUUGCUGAUUGGUUCAUAACAAUUGCGUCCAUUUUAAAACUGGUUGCUGGGAAAGGUUGCCAUGUUCGCUGUUUCUAGUUUUUUUGAUUUGCUGAUUCAUUAAAUGCUUUUAUGGAUUGGUCCGCAGGGUUUCUUUCACGGGGUAUGGGGCCGCUCUUC
rnacentral:lncRNA from 1 species